rnacentral:snRNA from 1 species
AUCGCUUCUUGGCCUUUUGGCUAAGAUCAAGUGUAGUAUCUGUUCUUACUAGUUUAAUAUAUUAAAUGGAUUUUUGGAGCAGGGAGAUGGAAUAGGAGCUUUCUCUGUCCACUCUAUUGACCUGGUCUUGCGGUACCUCCAGGAAUGGUGCAUCCUUU